UGGAUGGAUGGAUCCAUGUAUUCAUGGAUGGAUUCAUUGAUGGACGGACGGACGGAUGGAUUGGUGGGUGGAUGGAUCACUCAUGGAUGGAUGGAUAGAUUGAUGGACGGACGGAUCACUCCCGUUUUUCCCGGCAGCUGUCCGGGUGCGUGGCCGGGGGCUGCUCCGAAGGGUCUCUCCGGCUGCAUUCCCGGCACAGCCUCUGCGCCCUCCUCACCUUCCUGAGCUUCACCUCCCGCCUGCCCGAGCGCCUGGCGCCCGGGAGCUUCGACCUCGUCGGGCACAGCCACCAGCUUUUCCACGUCUGCGGGAUCCUGGGAACGCUGUUCCAGCUGGAAGCCGUGGCCGCGGACAUGGCGGAGCGGCGCGGCCGCCUCCCUCUCCCCUCUUCCCUGGAAACCUUCGGAUCCUUGGGAAUGGGAGCGGCUGCCAGCCUGGCCAUCCUCGGGAUCUGCUUCCGCAGCCUCCGCCCGCAGCCUCGUUCCCGGGAAAAAUCCCGCUAGGAUUUCCUGGGAUUUCUCCCGGGAUUUCUGGGAGCGGCCCCGCCCGCGUGUUUUGAGGGGGAAUCGGAUCGCCCGGAAAUAUUCCUUUGGGAAUUUCCCCAGGGGGAAAAACUGCACUGGUUUUGUGGGAAAACUUCCCAUCCCGGUGUUAUCCACAGGGAAAGCGUCAAAUAAUCGGGAUGGGAUCCCUGAAAAGGGAGGGAAGCGCUUCCUGCUUCCCAAAAAAUCCGGGAUCCUUCAGGUGUCCCUUGGGGAGAAAUCCAGGGAAUGUUGGCGUCAUUCCAGCUGGGUGAAGCCAAGCACUUCCAAAUUCCCGUUUUCCCCUUGGAAAUGGAAUUCCUUUGGAAUUCCAAGCCUUACGCUCAGCCCAAGUGCCUGGAAAAGUGGGAUGGAGGGAUUGGAAUGUUUCCCUCCAGUUUUAAUUCCCACAGUUUUUAAUCAUGAUCCCGGAAAAGGGAUUCCAGGAGAGCUCCAAUGGGAUAUUCCCACAGGAAAGCUCUUCCGGGGUCUAAUUCCGGGAAAUCCUGGGAAGUUCGUUCCGGUGGGAAUUCUGAGUUUCCACGUGGGGAGUUGGAAUUGGGAUUAAUUAAUUGGGGAUGGAGGAAUUCCAUCCUGUCCCGGGUAUUCCCGGGCUGGAUCCCGGGAUUGGGGCUGGGAGAGCUCCCGGGAUUUGGGAUCUUUUGGGAUCCAUCUUUUGAGGGAUGGGAUCGGGAUCCGUGGGGAGAAAAGCAGGAUUUGGGACAGCUCAAGGGUUAAAAGCACCCUGGAAUUUUGAAAGAAUUCCCAGGAUUUUCCCCUCUGUUUUUCCUUCCUUUUCCUUCCCUGGAUGUUGCAGGAGGAGCCUGGAGCUCUCAGCCUUUCCCAGGAUCCGGGUUUUCCUCCUGGAUUUUCCUGCAGGAAAACACGGCACGCGCUUUGUUCUUUGGGAAUUUUUUUUUUUUCCCCUGGAUAAUCACGCGGGUCUCCCGUUAAUUUCCUUUAAUUGCCUUUGCCGAGGUGUGGCCGCUGCACUUUGGGAGCCGCUGGAAUUCGGGAUAACACGAUAAAAUCUGGGCUGGACGGGUUAAAUCCGGGCUAAAUCAAUCCUUGGGAAAGCUGACCGGGAUUUUCGGGAUAUUUAUGAGCACUGGAGUUGGGUUUAUUUUUCCCGACGGUUUUGUUAAAUUAAUAUAAAUCGCUGAUUUUAAUCUGCUUAAUAAUAAAAAUAUUCCUGGGAAAACGGAUCCCUUUGGAGAGCGUUGCUGAUAAUUCCAGAGUUUGUUUCCUCAAUUCCCUUCCCAGGAGAAAUGAAAAUUCCGUGUCCAGGUGUUCCCAGGAAAGAAACCGGGAUAUUUAUUUGUGGAAUGUCGAUCCGCGGCAAACCCCAAACAAAUCCAGGGAUUUCGGGGAUCAAAUUCCAGCGAACCUCCCUCAUCCCUCCUAAGCCUCGUGGGUUUGGAAAAGCUGGAAAAGAGCAGGAAUUUCAGGAAUUUCAGG
ensembl:lncRNA